UAUAGCCACUGCCAUAUCCUCUGAGUUUUCAUAAAAUCUGUGGUGAAAAGAGCUGAAAAUUCAUUGUUUCUUCUUUCCUAGCUUCUUUGGUCAUUCAAAGAACACAAGAAAUUCAAGGCAGGAUUCCUCAUAUCUUUCCCUGCUCGAGCUUGACAAGAGAAAACCAUCAACUCCUCCUCCUUUCCAGGAAAUCUACGUGGAUUCAAAAGAAUGGUGGGCAUCAGGAAAUCUACAGAUGAACAGUGGUCAAGGGUUCCAAUUUACGUACUUACCUUUUCAAAGUGGACAAACGUGGAGCUGUAGGGAGAUCAAUAGAUGUAAUCCGUUACUCAGGUUGUUAUGAUGACCUCAAACAAGAUCUGGCUCGUAGGUUUGGCAUAAAGGGGCAGCUGGAAGACCGAGGGAGAGCAGGCUGGUAACUAGUCUAUGCGGAUCAUGAGAAUGAUGUUCUGCCAGUAGGAGAUGACCCAUGGGAAGAGUUUGUCUGCAGAGUCCGAUGCAUCAAGAUCCUCUCGCCUUAGAAACUCCAGGUCCAUCAGAUGAGUUUGGAGAUUCUGGGAACUCUUAAUCAAUCCUGUAGCAGCUCUCGACAAUGGGAACGCAUAAACUAGCCUAGCAACAAGCAAAUGAUUCUUAGUUGUUGGUGCUCAUAGCUUUCCAUACGAAGUAUAUUUGGUUGCUUCGUUUUCCUUCAGUAACUUAUCAGAUCGAAGAAGGACAAAAAGUCAAGAGAUGAUCCUUUUGCAGCAAGAUAGCCGUUCACUUACAAUUUUGGCUGAACUUUAUGCUAGAAAAGAACAGAUACAUCAUAGAAGCAGAAGAAAAGGAAACGAUCGCCAAAUAAAUGAAGCCUGCCUCUCUCCACUCCAUUGGAAGGGACAAUUCAGCUUAUUCAAGAAUCCAGUUCGGAUAAAUGCUUUAAACUCGUUAAUAGGUUCAUUCUGUUAUGAAAUUGAUAUUUAUUGUACAAUUUUUGGUUUGAUGCACGUUGAUCAGAUCUUAUCAGUGCUUAAUCUUUACCUUUCGUCCA